rnacentral:rRNA from 1 species
UACGUAGGGGGCAAGCGUUGUCCGGAUUUAUUGGGCGUAAAGAGCGUGUAGGCGGCCUGACAGGUCUGCUGUGAAAACUCGAGGCUCAACCUCGAGAUGUCGGCGGAAACCGUCUGGCUAGAGUCCGGAAGAGGAGAGUGGAAUUCCUGGUGUAGCGGUGAAAUGCGCAGAUAUCAGGAAGAACACCUAUGGCGAGGGCAGCUCUCUGGGACGGUACUGACGCUGAGACGCGAAAUCGUGGGGAGCGAACAGG